UUCAACUUGCGCGUUAAAUAUUUUACACGGAACCAGUCGAGUAAUACCCAACACAACUAAAAAUAAACACUGGAAUUCCACAAACUGUUCAUGUUUAAGCUACUUUCGGAUUGAUUGCUUUAUCUAAAAGAAUGAAAUGACUGUGCUCCUGCAAUGCUCAUAUAGAUGGAAAUUUCAAAUUGGCUGCCUCUGUAUACAUAUAGAUGUUGUACAACUACAGGACUCUCAAUCUCACUCAAGUUGAUGGGUCAGUUGCACGAAUGGUAACUGUAAUUCACACUGGUCACGGGAAAAAGUGCCUCUGUGUGGGAAUCAAUUGUAGUUUCUCCGG
rnacentral:lncRNA from 1 species